rnacentral:rRNA from 1 species
CCCGACGACUUUGCCAUGAAGUGUCUGUCCCAUCAAUUGGCGAUGGUCGGCGACCUGCCUACCACGGUGUUGACGGGUAACGGGGAAUCAGGGUUCGAUUCCGGAGAGGGAGCCUGCGAAACGGCUACCACCUCCAAGGAGGGCAGCAGGCGCGCAACUUACCCAAUCCCGACACGGGGAGGUAGUGACGAAAAAUAACGUGGCGGGGCCCUUUCGUGGUCGCCGCGGGCGGAAUGAGCGCAAUUUAAAAGAGUGUGCGAGGAGCUAUUGGAGGGCAAGCCUGGUGCCAGCAGCCGCGGUAAUUCCAGCUCCAAUAGCCUAUAUCGGAGUUGCUGCGGUUAAAAAGCUCGUCGUUGGAUCUCGGAGGCGGCACGGUCGGGCGCGAUACGCUGCGGGUCCGACCGGCGAUUUCUCGGCCGUCCCUAACCAGCGCGCGGGGCGAGGUGGACUUCGCGGUCCUGCCUCGUUUUUCUCCUUCACGGGAGAGAACCCGCCGCAUUUUCUGUCUACCUUGAAAAAAUUAGAGUGCUAAAGGCAGGCUAAAACCCCGAGCCUGAAUAUUUCGUGCAUGGAAUAAGCGGGGAUGCUCUUUUCCGGAGGGCGGUCCGACCGACUGGCGACGUCGCUUUCGCUGUCGGUUUCGCCGGAGAGCUAGGAUUCNAGAGGAACGGUGGGGGGCGAGCGUACCGGGCGGGGAGAGGAGAAAUUUUGUGAUCCGCUCGGGACGACUCGAAGCGAAAGCGCUGGCCCCGGACGUCUUCCUUAAUCCAGAACGAAGGUGGGUGGAGCAAAGACGAUCAGAUACCGUCGUAGUACCGACGGUAAACGCUGCCGACCGGGCCGCGGACGAGGCUCGAGAACAGCGGUUAUGGACCCGUCCGUGGCGGCUUCGGGCAACCUGAGAGUUUACGGGUUCCGGGGGUAGUAUGGUCGCAAGGCUGAAACUUGAAGGAAUUGACGGAAGGGCACCACAAGGAGUGGAGCCUGCGGCUUAAUUUGACUCAACACGGGGCAACUUACCCGGUCCGGACAUCGUCAGGAUUGACAGACGCUCGUGCAGUUCUUUCUCGAUUCGANGGGUGGUGGUGCAUGGCCGUUCGUGGCUGGUGAAGUGAAAAGUCUGGUUUAUUCCGCUAACGGGCGAGGCCUCGCCCUUAACUAGUCGGCUCGUGGUUCUCGAAUCGUAGUCUCCCUUCGGGGAGCAGGGAGAACAUCGGGCGAGUCGCAGCGAUCGUCGCUACUUCUUAGGGGGAUCCCGAGCAAGCUUAAGCUAGGUGAGAGAGAUCAAUAACAGGUCAGUGAUGCCCUUAGAUGUCCGGGGCCGCACGCGCGCUACACUGAAGA